GUGGCCGUAGCUCAGCUGGUAGAGCACAGGAUUGUGGCUCCUGAGGUCGUGGGUUCGAGACCCAUCGGCCACCCCA
rnacentral:tRNA from 1 species